CCUACGGGAGGCAGCAGUAAGGGAUAUUGGGCAAUGGGGGAAACCCUGAACCAGCAACGCCGCGUGAGCGAAGACCGUUUUCGGAUGGUAAACCUCUGUCCUCUGUGAAGAUGAUGACGGUAGCCGCGGAGGAAGCUCCGGCUAACUCCGUGCCAGCAGCCGCGGUAAUACGUAGGGAGCGAGCGUUGUCCGGAUUUACUGGGUGUAAAGGGUGCGUAGGCGGCUUGGCAAGUCAGUAGUGAAAUCCAUGGGCUUAACCCAUGAACGGCUAUUGAAACUUGCGAGCUGGAGUGAAGUAGAGGUAGGCGGAAUUCCCGGUGUAGCGGUGAAAUGCGUAGAGAUCAGGAGGAACACCAGUGGCGAAGGCGGCCUACUGGGCUGUAACUGACGCUGAGGCACGAAAGCGAGGGUAGCAAACGGGAUUAGAUACCCCGGUAGUC
rnacentral:rRNA from 1 species